UACGUAGGGUGCGAGCGUUAAUCGGAAUUACUGGGCGUAAAGCGUGCGCAGGCGGUUUUGUAAGCCAGAUGUGAAAUCCCCGGGCUCAACCUGGGAAUGGCAUUUUGGGACUGCAAGGCUGGAGUACGGCAGAGGAGACUGGAAUUCCUGGUGUAGCAGUGAAAUGCGUAGAGAUGUGGAGGAAUACCGAUGGCGAAGGCAGCCUCCUGGGCCAACACUGACGCUCAUGCACGAAAGCGUGGGGAGCAAACAGG
rnacentral:rRNA from 1 species